CUAUGACUAAAAAAAUAGUUAUGGCGGAAGGAG
rnacentral:ncRNA from 1 species